rfam:Salmo salar isolate Sally breed double haploid chromosome ssa12, whole genome shotgun sequence.
UGCACGCACUAAUGUCAGUGGCUUUGGAUAAAAGCGUCUGCUAAAUGGCAUAUC